GAUGAACGCUGGCGGCGUGCCUAACACAUGCAAGUCGAGCGGAGAAUUGUUGCUUGCACCAAUUCUUAGCGGCGGACGGGUGAGUAACACGUGGGUAACCUGCCCUAAACAAAGGGAUAACAAUGAGAAAUCAUUGCUAAUACCGUAUAAGCUUACACUAUCGCAUGAUAGAGUAAGAAAAGAUUUAUCGGUUUAGGAGGGGCCCGCGUCUGAUUAGCUAGUUGGAGAGGUAACGGCUCACCAAGGCGACGAUCAGUAGCCGACCUGAGAGGGUGAUCGGCCACAUUGGGACUGAGACACGGCCCAAACUCCUACGGGAGGCAGCAGGGGGGAAUAGUGCACAAUGGAGGAAACUCUGAUGCAGCAACGCCGCGUGAAGGAAGAAGGUUUUCGGAUCGUAAACUUCUAUCUACAGGGAAGAAAAAAAUGACGGUACCUGAGGAAGAAGCCCCGGCUAACUACGUG
rnacentral:rRNA from 1 species